UGUGGAUCCAGGCAAAUUACCAGAACAUAUGGUCUCCAUAAACAGCUCAGAUAAACGUAUCACGCCUGUCAGACACAUGUGACUUUGCUCUGGGCACCUUGUGUGCUGGAUCCUCUCUACUGCCUGAAAUCAAGCAAUGCCUGGCUGCAAGAGGAUCUCAGCAGUACAGAUGGGACUCAAGUCACCAGUUAUCUCCCUCAAAGAGCAGCCCAGGACUGAUGGACAGACAGGCUGGCCAGGGUGAGGAACAAAGGGUGGACAUUGCAGAGAAGGUUGGGUGGAAGCAGGGGAUGGAGAUGCAUUAGUGGUUAUUGCAAUUCUCCUAGCAAGACGAACAUUUUCUUCCUUUGGAGGAAGAAAAAUGUGCUAUUUGUCAUUUCAGAAUGGGUGGCCUUCAGCUUUGUGAUUGGAGGACAUGUGUCUAUGGAGGCCAUCUAUCUUCUGGCUUGAAAGACCGUUGUUUUCUUGGGAAUUUGACCAUGUCCAUUAUUGUGGGAGAAGAUCCAGAGCUACACUCUAAAAGGGCAUGGGCAGCAUGAGACUCCAGGGCUGAGGACCCCAAAUGGAGAUGAUCACCAUCUGGGCAAUUCCAAUUAGCAAAUCUUGUUUUGUGUCAACAUUGUAUAGGUGAGGAAUUGGAGAGACUCACCCCUUCUUGGUGAGAACGAAUGUUCCCGGACCCACCG
rnacentral:lncRNA from 1 species